GUCGGGAGGGUGGCUAAUACAACACCCGUCAGGGAAAUACGCCCACCGUCUGUAAGCGGCUUCUAACCUCCCGACAACCACGC
rnacentral:ncRNA from 1 species